GAAAGCCAUAUCAUUUGGCUUGUUUACACCUUUGGCUAGUGUGAAUAAUGCUGCUAUGAACAAAGACAUGCAGAUACCUGCUGGGGCCCCUGCUCUCAGUUCUUUUCAGAAUACACCAGAAGUAGAAUUGCUGCAUCGUGUGAUCCCUGGGUGUCCUGCUGCCCCCUCACAUGGAGAAAUCCCAGCACUGGGAGAAAGGACAGGGUCUGUAUUAUCAGAUACAUGCAGCCACUCCUCCAGCGUCCCCUCUCCCAUAGGGCAAGUCCGGAUGCUCCAGGCUCUCCCCAGUGUUGCUGUUAGGUGAGUAGAUAUGAAUGAUUGUGUGUGGGGAAGAUGAUUCAUGGACAGAAUGGGAAAGAAUCUGGUGUCCAAGGCCAUUAGGUUAUGAGGUCAGAGGGAGGUUGAGUGUGGGUGGUCAGCAGCGGUGAAGAAUCGUGGGGGUAAUAGAGUUAGCAGGAAGGGCAAACCACUCCCCACCACAGCGCUGGGGCCAGUGCCAGCCCCACCCCCCAAGUGAGAGACUCCAGGCCCUCAGCCCCACCUCCCUCAUGCUGAGAGGCAGGAGGCUGCACAUCACGCUUCUCACGCGCAGAGAAGAUCCCGAUUUGUCUGGUGUGGUUCAACAAGAAGCUGGAAGGUUG
rnacentral:lncRNA from 1 species